UCCGACCUCAGACUCGGCUGCGAGGCCCGGAAUGAGCACGGGGCCCAGAGCACCGCCGCGGUCCUGGUGUUGCUGCCAGCGCAGCCUCUGCUUGGGGGAGGAUUCGUUCUGGCGGCUGCCGGGGGUGCUGGUGUCGCUGGCCUGCUCGGUCUCUGUCCUUGCCUCAUCUUCUUCAUAGUGAAGACCCGCAGGAAGCAGGCCCCAGAGACAGCAGCUGGCGGCAAGGAAGCUGUCUGCACGUUGGGUCCCAUCUCCUGGGGUUCCCAGCAUGAGGAUUGGUCAAGCACCCCCCUAGACCACCCGCCCCCAGCCAUGGCCGCUCCCACCUCGGAGGAGGGAAAGGAGCCCCACUACGCUUCUCUCACCUUCCAUGGGCUGAAGCCCUGGAACCUUCCGGACCCGGAGGCCACCAGCACCACCGAGUAUUCAGAGAUCAAGAUCUGCAAGUGACGCCUCCAGCCAGCUCCUGCAACCGCUGGCUAGAGGGCUCAGGGCUUCUAAAGAAGGGACACCUCCGGGACAAUUCCUGAGUGAAUAGUUUUCCACAGAAACGGGUCGCCAACCGGUGUGGUGUGUUGGCGUUCACCUGUGUGGGGAUGGGCAGAGCUGGGCUCACAUUUCAGCCAGUCACCGAUAAAUUACAAGCCGGUGCAGAGAGAGCACUUUGCCCGAGGUCACGGGCUCUUCCCAGGGUAACCGACCUGGUCAGGAGGAUUCCUGACCCGCCCUCCGCCCCGCCCCACUCUGAGCCUGCUUUCUGGAAACCCAACUUGUGUAUUGUCACCACACGGAAAACCAUUCCCGGAUUUUCUGCAAUAAAUGACAGGUUAUCUAAAUUAUAUACCCUC